ACAUUUUGCAUAAAUUAAAUCUAGGGUUAAUAUAGUAAAGUCACACGAAAAAAUUAGGUUAAAUCUAGGGCUAGUAUUGCGUCACGGGUUAACAUUUAGAAAUAAGAAUGUCAUUUUGCAUAACUUAAAUCUAGGGUUAAUAUAAUUUGUUUAGUAAAAUUAAAGAGAAAAAUUAGGAACGAUUUGUUUAUUUUGAUUUCCCGAACAAUUAACGUUAACAUUUUGAUCAAAUUAAACAUGGUUAAUUAAAUAGGGUUAAUACAAUAAAAUUAAGCAAAGAAGUUAAGUUAAUUCUAGGGCAAAAUUUUGCGUCCGGGUUAACUUUAAGAAAUAAAAUAAAAUAGGUUAAGUAUAGCAACACGGGUUAACAUUUAUAAGUAAGAGAUUAAGUUAAGUAUAGCUAGACGGGUUAACGGUUAUUCCUUUCCAAAAAAACAUCAUAUAAUUGGGAACAUACUUUUAUUUUACUUUAGAUAAACAUUAAAUGCAAAAGUGUGGAGGGAAAAAUUAGGUUAAAAUUAGAGAUAACAUUUUGCAUAAAUUAAAUCUAGGGUUAAUAUAGUAAAGUCACGCGAAAAAAUAGGUUAAAUCUAGGGUUAAUAUUGCAUCACGGGUUAACAUUUAGAAAUAAGAGAUGACAUUUUGCAUAAAUUAAAUCUAGGGUUAAUAUAGUAAAGUCACACGAAAAAAUUAGGUUAAAUCUAGGGUUAAUAUUGCGUCACGGGUUAACGUUUAUAAAUAAGAGAUGACAUUUUGCAUAAAUUAAAUCUAGGGUUAAUAUAAUUUGUUUAGUAAAAUUAAGGAGAAAAAUUAGAAGCGAUUUGUUUAUUUUGAUUUCCCUAACAAUUAACGUUAACAUUUUGAUUAAAUUAAAUAGGG
rnacentral:lncRNA from 1 species